AACACUUGUGUGUAUUUUUGUUUGAUUUGGAGACAGACUCACAUAAAAUGGCAACAAGUGAAUCACUUUUUGCAACUCAGAACUCAUUUUUCUGUAUGAGUAUUGAUACAUAAGAAGGACUAUG